UACUUUCGACACCGUGCUCACUGCUGAUUCUAAAAUGCACCACCUAGUCAAAACAGGACAUAUGUUCUUCUAGGAAUAGAUCUCUUUCCAAUAUUUCGUCAUUCCACUAUCGUCAUCACCUCAUGAUACUUUCAUUGACAUUACAGGCACACAUCCACAGAGCACUCUUCAAAUCAUCUACACAGUGGUUAUCCAACUAGGAUUAUAAAGGCACACAUUGACAUCGACCACUGUUGCAAUCAACGACACAGUCGCUAUCCAAGUAGCAUUAUAGAGGUAAUUAUCAUUUUCAUACCUCAUUAGCAUGUGAACCAAUCGCGUCGCGUCCUUUGCGAUCACGGCAAAGCCUCAUGGAAUAAUGUCUUUCACCGUUGAAUAAUUUUUCAUAUUCCAUGCCAACAACUUCAAUUUCUUCAUAUUCCAUGGCUAGAAGUUCAAUACUAAUAUAAUAUCCAAGAUAAAGUUACAAGAAGUAGUCAAUAGGGGUCUCUCACCUCUCACUGUAUGUCCACACUAUUCACGCUUGUACGAGGAAUACAUUCAAUGCUGAAUCUAACAACACCCAGUGCCCUUACUCUGUAUAUUAGUCACUGGAAGAUGGCCCAUUUCACUCCUUGCUUCUACUUCACCUAUAGUCUCAUUGCAAACGCCUCAGUUCUAUGAUAUCACAUUCACUUUCAGCUGUCAUGCAACGCAACAACUGUGCUAUCUGCCAUCGCACAUCAACGAAGAAGUGCAGCCGCCCACAUUCCACCUCACGUCUGUCCGACCAGCUGCAAUCCUCGAGGACGCCCCACUGUACCACGAUUUCACUACGAUGUUUCACAAGAAGGAGCAGUGCGCGAGAUAGGCUAAUGAGCAGACUUCCCUCGCUUGAGUUUCGGAAGAAUGUUCCAUAUCGCGCUAAGCUGACCACUGCUGACCAUGACAGGCGUGCAUUGGACUGGUACAGGUUGGAACUGAACAUUGAAUAUGCUGGUGGUGACGCUUUCUGAUGAGAAGUUGGUCGUGACUGAUGCAGUAUCCUUGGACUUGUCAACAGCAUCGUUCAAUCAUUGCUCUCCGAGCUGCCUUGAUUCUGUACUUACCCAAAUACUAAGACCAAAUGCCUGUUGACUGUGCUUUAAGAGAGACUGGCGCCAUGCCUAGAGAUAUGACUGACCCCUAUUGGCAAAUUUGUAUGACUUUAUCUUGCCUACCUAGCUGCUGCCUAUAGUCUCCCUUUAACUGCAGAACACUUCAAAGUCGAUAAAAUGCCAUGUUCCACCUUUUAAUGUGUUCAGACCGCCAUUUUCAAAAUAAUCAAAUCAGGACACUGCCUUCUAGUCUCAUAAUAAAUUUUGCUUUCCUCAAUAAUAA